GAUGAACGCUGGCGGCGUGCCUAAUACAUGCAAGUCGAGCGAACAGACGAGGAGCUUGCUCCGCUGACGUUAGCGGCGGACGGGUGAGUAACACGUGGAUAACCUCCCUAUAAGACUGGGAUAACUUCGGGAAACCGGAGCUAAUACCGGAUAAUAUAUUGAACCGCAUGGUUCAAUAGUGAAAGACGGUUUUGCUGGCACUUAUAGAUGGAUCCGCGCCGCAUUAGCUAGUUGGUAAGGUAACGGCCUACCAAGGCAACGAUGCGUAGCCGACCUGAGAGGGUGGUCGGCCACCCUGGAACUGAGACACGGUCCAUACUCCUACGGGAGGCAGCAGUAGGGAAUCUUCCGCAAUGGGCGAAAGCCUGACGGAGCAACGCCGCGUGAGUUAUGAAGGUCUUCGGAUCGUAAAACUCUGUUAUUAGUGAAGAACAAAUGUGUAAGUAACUAUGCACGUCUUGACGGUACCUAAUCAGAAAGCCACGGCUAACUACGUG
rnacentral:rRNA from 1 species